GGAAGUGAAACAUCUAAGUACUAAUAUAUGAAAAUCAAACGAGAAUUUAUUAGUAGUGGUGAGCGAAUUUAAAUUUGUUUUAUAAAUAAAAGGAUAAAAAAAUGUGGAAUUCAUUUUAUGAUUUUUUGUUAAAGUCAAAAAUAUCUAAAAAAUUUUUAUUUAUAAAAAUAGAGUAGAUUGUUUUGUUAAAUGCAAUCGAAGAAAGGAGAUCCACCUUCUAAAACUUGUAAACAUUAUUACCAAUAGCGUAAAGUACCGUGAGGGAAAGCUUGAAAAGUACCUUUAACAAAGUAAAAGGAGUGAAAAGUAUAAAAUUCUAAAUUACGUGAGCUAUUGAUGCACAUUUUUGUGUAACAAUGUACCUUUUGUAUAAUGGAUCAACGAGUUGAUAUGUUUAGCAAAACGAAAGUUUAAGCUUAGGUUUUAAUGAAAAUGAGUUAUCAAUAACAUAAGUUAAACAUAUUAUUUUACCGAAACUGAAUGAUCUAGUCAUGUACAAGUUAAAAGACUGAACUCGUGUAUGUUGCAUUAUACUGGAUGAUAUGUGAUUAGGGGUGAAA
rnacentral:rRNA from 1 species